ensembl:lncRNA
UGGACCUGGAGGUGUUGAUUGACGCUAGACUGAACAUGAGCCAGCAGUGUGCGCAGGUGGCCAAGAAGGCCAAUGGCAUCCUGGCUUGUAUCAGAAACAGUGUGGUCAGCAGGAACAGGGAAGUAAUUGUCCCCCUGUACUCAGAACUGGUGAGGCCGCACCUGGAGUACUGUGUCCAGUUUUGGGCCCCUCACUGUAAGAAAGACAUCGAGGCCCUGGAGCGUGUCCAGAGGAGGGCAACAAAGCUGGUGAGGGGUCUGGAGCACAGGCUUUAUGAAGAGCGGCUGAAGGACCUGGGAUUUUUCAGUCUAAAGAAGAGGAGGCUCAGAGGAGACGUUAUUGCUCUCUAUAACUACCUGAAGGGAGGUUGUAGUGAGCUGGGGGUCAGCCUCUUCUCUCAGGUGACUAGUGAUAGGACUAGAGGGAAUGGCUUCAAGCUGCACCAGGGAAGAUUCAGGCUGGAUAUUAGGAAAUACUACUUCUCUGAAGGGGUGGUCAGGCACUGGAAUGGGCUGCCCAGGGAGGUGGUGGAGUCACUGAGCCUGGUGGUGUUGAAAGAGUGUUUGGAUGUUGUGUUGAGGGACAUGGUUUAGUAAGAACCAUUGGUGAUGGGUGAAUGGUUGGACUGGGUGAUCCUGUGGGUCUUUUCCAACCUUGGUGAUUCUAUGAUUCUAUGAUUCUAAAUGUAGUCUUCGAAGUGUAACUUGAGCUAUGGUCAGCAUCCAUUCCAGUUAAGCUUUUGCAUUAAUUUUAUUGUAUUU